rnacentral:rRNA from 1 species
GAUGAACGCUGGCGGCGUGCCUAAUACAUGCAAGUCGAGCGAACAGACGAGGCGCUUGCUCCUCUGACGCUAGCGGCGGACGGGUGAGUAACACGUGGAUACCCUACCUAUAAGACUGGGAUAACUUCGCGAAACCGGAGCCAAUACCGGAUAAUAUAUUGAACCGCAUGGUUCAAUAGUGAAAGACGGUUCUGCUGUCACUUAUUGAUGGAUCCGCGCCGCAUUAGCUAGUUGGUAAGGUAACGGCUUACCAAGGCGACGAUGCGUAGCUGACCUGAGAGGAUGAUCAGCCACACUGGAACUGAGACACGGUCCAGACUCCUACGGGAGGCAGCAGUAGGGAAUCUUCCGCAAUGGGCGAAAGCCUGACGGAGCAACGCCGCGUGAGUGAAGAAGGUCUUCGGAUCGUAAAACUCUGUUAUUAGGGAAGAACAAAAGUGUAAGUAACUAUGCACGUCUUGACGGUACCUAAUCAGAAAGCCACGGCUAACUACGUG